UACGUAGGGGGCAAGCGUUGUCCGGAUUUAUUGGGCGUAAAGAGCGUGUAGGCGGCCAUACAGGUCCGUUGUGAAAACUCGAGGCUUAACCUCGAGACGUCGAUGGAAACCGUAUGGCUAGAGUCCGGAAGAGGAGAGUGGAAUUCCGUGGUGUAGCGGUGAAAUGCGCAGAUAUCAGGAAGAACACCCGUGGCGAAGGCGGCAUCCUGGACCAACACUGACACUGAGGAGCGAAAGCCAGGGGAGCAAACGGG
rnacentral:rRNA from 1 species